rnacentral:misc_RNA from 1 species
GAUAAGAACGUAGCGAAAUGCGAUAAGUAAUGUGAAUUGCAGAAUUCAGUGAAUCAUCGAAUCUUUGAACGCACAUUGCGCCCGCCAGUAUUCUGGCGGGCAUGCCUGUUCGAGCGUCAUUUCAACCAUCAAGCCCCAGGCUUGUGUUGGGGACCUGCGGCUGCCGCAGGCCCUGAAAACCAGUGGCGGGCUCGCUAGUCACACCGAGCGUAGUAGCAUACACAUCGCUCAGGGCGUGCUGCGGGUUCCGGCCGUUAAACCCCUUUUUUACCCAAGGUUGACCUCGGAUCAGGUAGGAAGACCCGCUGAACUUAAGCAUAUCAAUAAGCGGAGGA